ACUCGCUCACUCGCUCGCCUCUCUUCUCCCCGUCGCUCUCCCCGACUCCCGCCGGCAUCUCCCUGACUCCCCGUCGCUGGCUCUCUAGCAUAUCUCCCCGUCGCCGCCACCUUUCUCCGCGUCCACAGCCGGCAUCCAUUCACGUCCGGCGUCCAUUCACGCCCCACAUCCAAGGUCAAAGAAUGAAUUUUUUGCGCCGGCGACGAGCUUCUGGGCGACAGAGGAGAUGGAUUUGCGUGCGCCGGCGCUCGAUCUAGGCGAGGGAGGCGCUGGAUAUGCGCUCGUCGGCACUGGAUGCAUAGCGGAGGCCGAGCGGCGUAUCUGGAGAGGCGCGGGAGCAACUGGCGGAUCUGGAGCGGCUUGGUCGUCCUCACGGAUCUGUGUGCCAGACUCCACUAUGCCUCUGAAGCCUUCACAAAGUUACUGAAAUCGUGUGAUUGUUGCUGUGCAAGCAAAGAUGAAGCUGAUGGAUCACCCCAGGCCCAGAGCAACUUGCUGAUGGAUUCUGGAGUAUGUGUGUGAAUUGCUGAAUGGAGUAGAAUGGUGGAGUGCAGUUGAUGUCUGGGACAACCAUCUUCUGCUGCUUUCAGUUCAUUCCUCUCUUUGCUACGUGGUCAUUGUUUCAGGACAGAUCGAGUUCGUUUCCAGCGACAGCAGAGAGAUGUACUCCAGCAGAGGAUCAAAUGAUCAGAGAGAGGAGAUGAACCUGGGCACCAGCCGAACCCAGCAACAGCUCCUGGAUGUGGGAGAGGAGGAGCGCCUGCACCUGGAUGCAGUGGCCGGAGGUGGGUACGGAGGUGGAGAUGGCGGAACAGCCUGUGCUCGCCUCCACCUGGGUGCGGGUCAGGAGGAGCCCCUGUGUGUGGGCGGCAGCAGAGCACCAGCUCUACUCCAGCGGCGGCAGCGCCUGGGCAGGGGGCGGAGGUGGAGAUGGAGGGCGGAGGUGGAGAUGGAGGUGGAGGGCGGAGGUGAGGGUGGAG